CCUUUGUACACACCGCCCGUCGCUACUACCGAUUGAAUGGCUCAGUGAGGCCUUCGGACUGGCUCAGGAGGGUUGGCAACGACCCCCCAGAGCCGGAAAGCUCUCCAAACUCGGUCAUUUAGAGG
rnacentral:rRNA from 1 species